AGGGCUAUCAAACACAAAUGACCUUGGGGCCACUGAGCAUCUAGUCUGGCCACUAUUUCUUGUGUUAUUCGUGUGUAACGGUAUUUGCUUUCGCUGUAGGAUUUUGUAAAGGAAACUCAAAGUUGGGAACAAAACAGAGCAAGAAAGGCUUCUCACAAAUAUACGCUCAAUACAACUUCACGGUCGAAGCAGGACAACUAUGUCAGACUCAACUUUAACGUCGCUGUCACGUGACAGUAAUAUGUCCUCGGUUAUCGUCAUGGCUGCUGCACCAAAGCCUGUCUUCUUGCUCGGUAAUGACACCCUGAGGGUGUCUGCUGCCCUUUUUUUUUCUGAAAACCGACAAAGCCUGUGCAAAGGGCUGAAAGCCAAUGAUGGAGUAAAGCCAAAGUCAGCAGUGGUGCUGCAGGGAGGGGAGUAGAAGCAGAGGCACAGACACAGACCUCCUUUUUCAGGCAGCCAUUUGUGUGUUGAUGUUCCACAUGUCCUGGUUCAUCUCCUCUCUUGAUCUGGAAAGACAAGCCUGUCCAGGUACAGUAUCUUAAACCCUGCAUUCAAUUUGAAACCCCAGUGUGAAUCAAAAACACUGUAUCCCUUUUUUCUGAUAGUUUCUCAGCAGCUAUGGUUACCUUAAGCUCAAAAACAAAAAAAUCAGAUAAACUGAGCUUCUGCAGUGACUGACCACAGACUGUUGAGGAAGACACGUUUUG